UAGUUCAUUGUCAUGCGGUUGUAUGGUAUUAUGUUGCGUUUUCUGUGUAAUAUGUAAGUGAUUUGAUGGUGGAGACAGGAAAUCACGGAAAGACGCAUAUUGAGUGUGUGAGCUUGUGUUUCCGCAUUGCGAGCAGGAGGUGACUAGUGUUUAGACAAACAUAUUAGUGCACAUUACUUACCUGUUCUGUUCGGCAAUUACGAAAAAUACCAGAUCGACGUGUGGUGGAUUAGGAGAGCACUCAUGGACUCCAAGGGAACUAGUUGGCUGAAAAAAGAGAAGAAUGAAGUAUAUGCUGAACCAGGCUCCUUGGUUCAGUUACACACAUCCACCAUGAAAGUAAAAGAAGAAUUGGAUGAGCAAGUGAACCAACAGUUUCUUCAAGAUCCACCAAGGAUUGUAAUGCCUAGUCUUCGUAUAAAGCAAGACCUAGAACUGAAACGGGAUUUAGAUGGCAUUGAGCAUGAUGUAAGUUUUCACUUCGGUCAUGCAUUGUGCAUGAAGUACUGUGUGAAUAUCAUGAAAUGCAUUGGGUGCAGUAAAUUCCAAUGAUCAUAAAUGAUGAAACAUUAAAACCGAGGAUAUUAGCACUUCUCCAGAAUUUUUAUGGUAUUUCAAUUGACUGUAGGUAUAUUGUUCUGUUGUGUGUAAUGGUAUUUGAAUGAAACUUGUAGGAAACAUAAGUUUAUUAACUGUAACACAUGGUAAUUUUAUUGUACAUG